AUUGAACGCUGGCGGCAGGCCUAACACAUGCAAGUCGAACGAGUGGCGGACGGGUGAGUAAUGUCUGGGAAACUGCCCGAUGGAGGGGGAUAACUACUGGAAACGGUAGCUAAUACCGCAUACCAUCGGAUGUGCCCAGAUGGGAUUAGCUAGUAGGGGGGGUAACGGCUCACCUAGGCGACGAUCCCUAGCUGGUCUGAGAGGAUGACCAGCCACACGGUAACUGAGACACGGUCCAGACUCCUACGGGAGGCAGCAGUGGGGAAUAGUGCACAAUGGGCGAAAGUCUGACGCAGCCAUGCCGCGUGGAUGAAGAAGGCCUUCGGGUUGUAAAGUACUUUCAGCGAGGAGGCGUUAUGCGCAGAGGAAGCACCGGCUAACUCCGUGCCAGCCGCCGCGGUAAUAC
rnacentral:rRNA from 1 species